GUGGAUUAGAUACCCUAGUAGUCCACGCCCUAAACGAUGUCAACUAGUUGUCGGGACUUAAUUGUCUUGGUAACGCAGCUAACGCGUGAAGUUGACCGCCUGGGGAGUACGGUCGCAAGAUUAAAACUCAAAGGAAUUGACGGGGACCCGCACAAGCGGUGGAUGAUGUGGAUUAAUUCGAUGCAACGCGAAAAACCUUACCUACCCUUGACAUGGCAGGAAUCCUGAAGAGAUUUAGGAGUGCUCGCAAGAGAACCUGCACACAGGUGCUGCACGGCCGUCGCCAGCU
rnacentral:rRNA from 1 species